AUCUCAUGAUGAGGACACUUACGAAGUAAUCCUUGAAUCACUCCCAAGCCUCAUACAAAGACUCGUCAUCUAAUUGUUGGAAAGCUAUGAUCUCGUUCCUCAACUU
rnacentral:snoRNA from 1 species